UCCCGCGUCCCCUGGGUCACACCCAUGGCUGCGGGGAGCCCGUGACUUCACGGCGGGCGAUGCCUGCCAGGGGGUGACGGUGACAUUUGCAGCGGCUGUCGUGGCAAAGGGGUCCCCAGGGUCUCCCGCAGCGGGAGCGGCGCGGGGAAAAGGCGACUCGGCCGCAUUUCCAGCAUUAAAAUUAAAUGCGAGUUGCAGCAUCCUCCUGCGCCGUAGGUAGGGCCGGGGGGGCCGGGGGCUGCUGGAGGAGGAGUUUGCUCGGCCGCCUCUUCCUCGGGGAUGCUCUGGGAAAGCUCCAGCACAAAGGAGCGGCGCGGCGGGCAGGAGCGAGCGGAACCGGCGCCCCCCCAGCCCCAGCCCGGCCCCCCGGGAGCAGAAUCCUCAUCAAGAAUAGGGCUCCUGCCAGUCCCCUCGCUGCCUCCACGGCACAGAGCCACGUGGAACAGGGGACACUGCACAGCACUCCCGUAGCUGGUGACCAGAGUGCCACCACCCCAGGGGCACGGCCCAGCUCCUGCCUGGCCAGACUGACCAUGUCCAGAGGGGAGCCGGGCUCAGGAGCUGCCAUCACCACCAGCACGUGAUGCCAGAGCCAGGCUGGCCCCAGCAGAGCAGCCUGGCACCCUCUGCCAUGGCGUGGAGCCACCAGACCGGCCACUGCGGGGGACACGGCCCAGGAGACUGCGGUGGUGACACCUGAGGACACGGGGCUGCACAUGCACACGGUUCUCCUGCAAGGUGCUGGGGUGUCCUUGCCUCCCCCCAGGCCUGUCCCCUGCCCUGAGCACAGAGUAGGAGGAGGGAGAAGGAAAAGGGAGCGGGGGCAGAGCUGUGCCACCUCCUCGUGGUGACACGAUGGGCAGAGCCCAAAGGGGCUCUGUUUGUCCCCACUGAUCCUGCCCUUCCCUCUGGCUGUUGGUGAAGUCCUGGUGCUUUGCUUUCUGAAACACCUGGUGUGUGGAGCAUCCUGGAGCUUGGGGAGGAGCAUGGGCAGUGAAUCCUCCUGACGUGGCCCCUGCAGUGGCCCUGUGAGCAGGUGGGACCCUGUCCUCACCAAGCAGCCACUCGGGCCCGUGUCCCCACACAGGCAGGACACGGAGUGCGGCGGGCUGGGGGCAGACACAGCUCAUGGCAGGUGAUACAGCCUUGAAGUCCAAACUGGAAAAGUGCCUCCUGGGGACCAGAAGAGCUCGUGCUGUGGGAGGAGGUGACCCAGAGGGGCUCGGGGCAGAGGCUUUCCUGGGUGCCCCAUCCCAGCCCUGUUUCUUGGGGCUCAGUGCUCCUGCAGCCCUUGGAGCAGUGCUCAGCCCCAUGGAGAGGCAGCUUCUGUGGGGAGGGAGUAAGCUGUGGGUCGCCUUUCCUCUGCCCCACGGUGGUUUUCCCUGCUGGACCUCCUCCUCCCUGCACGUGCAGUGGGAGCUUGGUGCAGUCCUGGAGCAGCUGUCGUGGUCUCUGCUGGAGCCUUACCCCAGACACUGCCAGUGAUUCUUUCACCCCCUGCUCCUCUGCUUCUUCCAGCUCCUUCGGAGUCCUUUAGGCACUGCUGGGGCUGUGUCCUCCAUGCACCCUGUCUCUCACCUCUCCCAGCACCAGGCCUGGGAAGUACAUGUUGUGAGGGGCCUCUGGAAGCUCCCUGGCAGGGAUCAGAGGGGCAGAUGCCUGCUGAGCAUUUCAUUCAGAGACAGGUUCUGUCACACCAGCUGAACCCUCCACUAACACCUUCUCGAAUGCCAAAGCCCAAAACCGCCUCCUGCUCUUGUGAGCCAGAGCCCUGCUGCUGGCAGGCCUGGCUCUGCAUGCUGCUGAUAUUAACCUACUAACCUGCUGGGACCCCUGUGCCCUCCCCGGGGCUGCCACGGCCCCCGGCACACGGACUAACCCACUAACCAGCCCAGCGCAUGCCCUACUAACCCACAGCAGCCCUGCCUCGUGCCCACUAACCACGGCAGCAGCGCUGCCUUUAAAGGGGAACAGAAAAGCUGGAAAAGGGUUUGGAAGUGCCAGGUGUCAGUGCCAGGCUGCACAGGCAGGGACAGGCAGGGGCAGCCCUGCAGAGAGGACUGGCUGCCCAGCACCGGGCAGGAGCGGUGACGGGCAGCUCCUGCCUGUGCAGGCAGCCCCAGUCCGGGCAGGAGAGGGGACUGCUGGGCCCUGGGCAGGACAGGGGAGCAGCAGCCCCUGCCCUGGUCAGGAGAGGGGAGCAGCAGCCCCUGCCCGGG